rnacentral:rRNA from 1 species
AUGGCGGCGCCAAACCGGAGAGGUGGCAGCGGCCGGAAGAAGAUCGUCAUCCGCCGGAUCGAGCAGGAGGAUGCCCGGUUCGUCUGCUACUUCAAGCGCCGCCAGGGGUUCUUCAACAAGGCCACGGAUCUGGCGGUCCUAACCGGCGCCCAGGUGGCCGCCCUCGCCUUCUCUCCCCGCGGCAGGGCCUUCUCCUUCGGCCACCCCUCCGUCGACUCCGUCGUGGAACGCUUCCUGACGGGGGAGGCUGCGGGGGCUGGCGCGAGGGAGGAGGGCGCUGCCGACGACCGCUUGCUGGCGGGGGACGGCGCUGCCGGCGAAGACGAGAAACUCGAGAAGCUGCAGCAGGAGUUCGACGAGCUGCGCACGGAGCUGACCGAGUUGAAGAAGCGGACCAAGCGCACGGACAAGGCCAUGGCAAAAGAGCGCUCUGCGGGGGACCCGAAAACAUGUUUUAGAGCCUAUGCACCCGGGUACUCCUUAUCCAACCACUCAUUUCUGCAUCAGGAUUCGUGCAAAUAA